AGGAUGAACGCUGGCGGCGUGCCUAAUACAUGCAAGUCGAGCGAAUGGAUUAAGAGCUUGCUCUUAUGAAGUUAGCGGCGGACGGGUGAGUAACACGUGGGUAACCUGCCCAUAAGACUGGGAUAACUCCGGGAAACCGGGGCUAAUACCGGAUAACAUUUUGCACCGCAUGGUGCGAAAUUCAAAGGCGGCUUCGGCUGUCACUUAUGGAGGACCCGCGUCGCAUAGCUAGUUGGGAGUAACGGCUCACCAAGGCAACGAUGCGUAGCCGACCUGAGAGGUGAUCGGCCACACUGGGAUGAGACACGGCCCAGACUCUUACGGGGGGCAGCAGUAGGGGAUCUUCCGCAAUGGACGAAAGUCUGACGGAGCAACGCCGCGUGAGUGAUGAAGGCUUUCGGGUCGUAAAACUCUGUUGUUAGGGAAGAACAAGUGCUAGUUGAAUAAGCUGGCACCUUGACGGUACCUAACCAGAAAGCCACGGCUAACUACGUGCCAGCAGCCGCGGUAAUACGUAGGUGGCAAGCGUUAUCCGGAAUUAUUGGGCGUAAAGCGCGCGCAGGUGGUUUCUUAAGUCUGAUGUGAAAGCCCACGGCUCAACCGUGGAGGGUCAUUGGAAACUGGGAGACUUGAGUGCAGAAGAGGAAAGUGGAAUUCCAUGUGUAGCGGUGAAAUGCGUAGAGAUAUGGAGGAACACCAGUGGCGAAGGCGACUUUCUGGUCUGUACUGACACUGAGGCGCGAAACGUGGGGAGCAACAGGAUUAGAUACCCUGGUAUCCCCCCGUAAACGAUGAUGCUAAGUGUUAGAGGGUUUCCCCCUUUAGUGCUGAAUUAACCAUUAAGCACUCCGCCUGGGGAGUACGGCCGCAAGGCUGAAACUCAAAGGAAUUGACGGGGGCCCGCACAAGCGGUGGAGCAUGUGGUUUAAUUCGAAGCAACGCGAAGAACCUUACCAGGUCUUGACAUCCUCUGACAACCCUAGAGAUAGGGCUUCCCCUUCGGGGGCAGAGUGACAGGUGGUGCAUGGUUGUCGUCAGCUCGUGUCGUGAGAUGUUGGGUU
rnacentral:rRNA from 1 species